rnacentral:rRNA from 1 species
UACGGAAGGCAGCAGUGGGGAAUAUUGCACAAUGGGCGAAAGCCUGAUGCAGCUAUGCCGCGUGUAUGAAGAAGGCCUUAGGGUUGUAAAGUACUUUCAUCGGGGAGGAAAAACAAAACUAAUAAUUUUAUUUCUUGACGUUACCCGAAAAAGAAGCACCGGCUAACUCCGUGCCAGCAGCCGCGGUAAUACGGAGGGUGCUAGCGUUAAUCAGAAUUACUGGGCGUAAAGAGCACGUAGGUGGUUUUUUUAAGUCAGAUGUGAAAUCCCUGGGCUUAACCUAGGAACUGCAUUUUGAAACUGAAAUACUAGAGUAUCGUAGAGGGAGGUAGAAUUCUAGGUGUAGCGGUGAAAUGCGUAGAUAUCUGGAGGAAUACCUGUGGCGAAAGCGGCCUCCUAAACGAAUACUGACACUGAGGUGCGAAAGCGUGGGGAGCAAACAGGGAUUAGAUACCCUCUGAGCUGACAGCAC